rnacentral:rRNA from 1 species
AGGAUAAACGCUGGCGGCGUGCUUCAGGCAUGCAAGUCGAACGAGACUUCGGUCUAGUGGCGGACGGGUGAGUAACACGUAAGUAACCUGCCCAGAAGUGUGGAAUAACCCACCGAAAGGUGGGCUAAUACCGCAUGUGGUGGUUUUUCUCUGGAGAGAUCACUAAAGGCGAAAGUCGCUUCUGGAGGGGCUUGCGGCCGAUUAGCUAGUUGGUGGGGUAAAGGCCUACCAAGGCUACGAUCGGUAGCUGGUCUGAGAGGACGGACAGCCACACGGGGACUGAGAUACGGCCCCGACUCCUACGGGAGGCAGCAGCUAGGAAUCUUGGGAAUGGGCGAAAGCCUGACCCAGCAAGCCGCGUGGGUGAUGAAGGCCUUCGGGGUCGUAAAGCCCUUUUGCGAGGGACGAUGAUGACGGUACCCUGCGAAUAAGCCAUGGCUAACUACGUGCCAGCAGCCGC